AUUGAACGCUGGCGGCAGGCCUAACACAUGCAAGUCGAGCGGAUGAAGGGAGCUUGCUCCUGGAUUCAGCGGCGGACGGGUGAGUAAUGCCUAGGAAUCUGCCUGGCAGUGGGGGAUAACGUCCGGAAACGGGCGCUAAUACCGCAUACGCCCUGAGGGAGAAAGUGGGGGAUCUUCGGACCUCACGCGAUCAGAUGAGCCUAGGUCGGAUUAGCUAGCUGGUGGGGUAAAGGCCUACCAAGGCGACGAUCCGUAACUGGUCUGAGAGGAUGAUCAGUCACACUGGAACUGGAACACGGUCCAGGCUCCUGCGGGAGGCAGCAGUGGGGAAUAUUGGACAGUGGGCGGAAGCCUGGUCCAGCCAUGCGGAGUGUGUGGAGAAAGUCUUCGGAUUGUAAAGCAGUUUUAGUUGGGGGGAAGGGCAGUAAGUUAAUACCUUGCUGUUUUGACGUUACCAACAGAAUAAGCACCGGCUAACUUCGUG
rnacentral:rRNA from 1 species